CACGGGGGGAGCAAGCGUUGUUCGGAAUCACUGGGCGUAAAGGGCGUGUAGGCGGUCAAGUAAGUGGAAUGUGAAAGCCCCCGGCUUACCCGGGGAUCUGCAUCCCAAACUGCUUGGCUUGAGUACGGGAGAGGAUAGGGGAAUUCCUGGUGUAGCGGUGAAAUGCGUAGAUAUCAGGAGGAACACCGGUGGCGAAGGCGCCUAUCUGGCCCGAUACUGACGCUGAAGCGCGAAAGCUAGGGGAGCAAACGGG
rnacentral:rRNA from 1 species